rnacentral:rRNA from 1 species
CCUACGGGUGGCAGCAGUCGAGAAUUUUUCACAAUGGGCGAAAGCCUGAUGGAGCGACGCCGCGUGGGGGAUGAAUGGCUUCGGCCCGUAAACCCCUGUCAUUUGCGAACAAACCUUACCGGUUAACAACCGGUGAGCUGAUUGUAGCGAAAGAGGAAGGGACGGCUAACUCUGUGCCAGCAGCCGCGGUAAUACAGAGGUCCCAAGCGUUGUUCGGAUUCACUGGGCGUAAAGGGUGCGUAGGUGGUGAGGUAAGUCGGAUGUGAAAUCUCCGG